rnacentral:rRNA from 1 species
UACAGAGGGUGCAAACGUUGCUCGGAAUUAUUGGGCGUAAAGCGUACGUAGGCGGCUUAUCAAGUCGGAUGUGAAAGCCCGCGGCUUAACCGCGGAAGUGCAUACGAAACUGAUGAGCUUGAAUAUGGAAGAGGGUCGCGGAAUUCCCGGUGUAGAGGUGAAAUUCGUAGAGAUCGGGAGGAACACCAGUGGCGAAGGCGGCGACCUGGGCCAAUAUUGACGCUAAGGUACGAAAGCGUGGGGAGCAAACAGG